AUUCAUCUGUUGAAACCUAAUCCCCAGUGUGAUGGUAUUCACAGCUGGAGCUUGUAGGAGGUGGUUAGGUUAUGAGGGUGGAGCCCUCAGGAUUGGGAUUAGCGACCUUCAAAGGUGACAGUAGCAUGCUCCUUCCACCAUGUGAAGAAACAGUGGGAAGAUAGCCAGCCAUCUUUGAACCAGGAAGAAGGAUCUCAUCAGAUACCCAGGCUGCCAUCCCUGUUAUCUUGGACUGCCCAGCCUCCGGAACUGUUCUUUCAAUUGGUAACUGCAAGUUCAAACUGAACAUUUUACAGCAUAUGCCAAGACCCUUGCAAUACAAAUGAGCUUUGAAGGCUGAAUCCAGACAGAUGUUUAGACCCUCUAAGGCAAUGCUUCUCCAAGGGAGGCACCAAGAGCAUCUGCAUCAGAAUCCUCUGAGGCACAUGCCUUGACUAUAAUGCCAUGCUCAGGAUGUAAAAGAGGCAUACUCCAAAGGGCAGCAUUUUAAGUAAAAGCAUCAAAUCAUAACCAAACGACUUCCAGAGAAAUCAGCCAAGAGACUGCAGCAAGAGAUCAUAUGGCUUUUCUGCCUUAUUCUACUCAUAUGAAAGUGACGUUGACUGGUUUUCAAUUGAUGGACGAACCUUGUAUGGCUGGAAUAAGCCCCACCUGGUCAUGAUGUAUUAUUCUCUGCACAAAUUGCUGGAUUCAUUUGCUAUGUUGUUAAAGAUUUUGUGUGUAUGUUCAUGAGGGAUAUUGAGCUUAAAAAGAACCUGGAAUGGUGAAUCUGCUUUGAUGUUUCUAUCCAUGAAGAAUAUCUGAUGGAGUAUAAUAUUUCUGCCUUGAGGAGGAUGGUGGGCCCUUAAUCCAAUAUGGCUGAUGAUCUUAUAAGAAGAGGAGGAGAGACAUAAAGACAGAGACACACACGGAGAAGUUGAUCAUGUGAUGAUGGAGGCAGAGAUUGGAGUGAUGUAUUUAAAAGUCAACGGAUGUCAAAGAUUGCCAGCAAUACUAGAACCUAAGAUAAGAAUUUUGCAGCAUCUCCCAGAUCUGUGUGGAAUUUGUUCAGAUUAAAGCUCCCGGCUGUCCUUCUUGGUCCUGCCUUGUGAGUUUCUCCUUGUGAAUGCACAGGUUUAUUUGGAUUCCCAUUUUUAUUCGGGUUUCUAGUGGUUACUGUAGAAAUCCCAGCAUGCUCCUCUAAGUCUUCUGCGGCCCUGGGAAGUGGUCUGCAUCCGCCUCUGAGGCUCUCCUUUCACAGAUCAGACCUUCCUAAAUACAAAGAGUCAUUCUCAAGAAUGCGAACAAUGACUUUAUUUGUGAAAAUGAAUAACACUGAAAUCUUAUUUAUUGAUUCAGAAGAGGACUUAAGAUAUAUCAUUCUGGAUCCCUUAUAUUCAGAUCCUCAUUAGUGAAAACUGCCAAAAUUCAUCUAAUCAGUUUUCACAGCAACAUUUAAGAAAUACAAUAUGCUUAUAACUUUACAAAGAGAGGAAUUUCAGAAAGUACAAUUUUGAAUUCCAUCAUUACUACUGCAAUCAUAUUCUCAAGGUAUGAGGCAAAAUAAUGUGGAACUGCUAGUUACAUGUAAGUAUAUUUGACAUUUUCAGCAGUCCUCCUCCAAAAGAAAAGAAAAAGAGAGAAUGA
ensembl:lncRNA